UGGGGAAUAUUGGGCAAUGGGCGAAAGCCUGACCCAGCAACGCCGCGUGAAGGAAGAAGGUCUUCGGAUUGUAAACUUCUUUUAUGAGGGACGAAGGACGUGACGGUACCUCAUGAAUAAGCCACGGCUAACUACGUGCCAGCAGCCGCGGUAAUACGUAUGGAGCAAGCGUUAUCCGGAUUUACUGGGUGUAAAGGGAGUGUAGGCGGCUUUGCAAGUCAGAUGUGAAAGCCCGGGGCUCAACCCCGGGACUGCAUUUGAAACUGUGAAGCUGGAGUGUCGGAGAGGUAAGUGGAAUUCCCAGUGUAGCGGUGAAAUGCGUAGAUAUUGGGAGGAACACCAGUGGCGAAGGCGAUUUACUGGACGAUACCUGACGCUGAGACACGAAAGUGUGGGGAGCAAACAGGAUUAGAUACCCUGGUAGU
rnacentral:rRNA from 1 species